GGAAGCCCCGUAAGCCCACCAAGUAGCCCCUCUCUUCUAACAUUGGCACGGAGGUCGUGUACGCUCGCCGGCUGCCGUGGCGAAGCCCUCAUCUGCUCCCUCCUCCCGACCCUGGAAGAGCAUUUGGGAUGAGUUAGGUUUAGGGAUUUGAUUCUUGAUCCGUCUCAGGUUGCACUUUCGGAUUGGUGGUUGACUGAAGCGGAAAGAGGAUUCGAGGGGAGGAGAAUAGCCGUCGACGGGUUUACGACGAGGUAAUUCCUUCGGAGAUGUUUGAUUUGCACUCAAAAGAAUGUUCUUAUCCAUAUUGUAUUGCGUGUUCUCGUCCCUUGGGAGAGUUCACUAAUGAAUUGGUCGUUCCUGUGAUAUGAAAUUGGAAAUUAACCCUUUCCUGUUCUUGGUGUUCGUGAAAGACACACUGCUUUGUUGUAUUCUUAUGAAAAUUUCAUGGUUUCCUUACCAUAUACGCAACAAGAGUCUUCAGAUGUGCACCAACUGUGAAACGAGAUGUUGCUCAUACUCUUACGACUGCAGAUGGGGUUACUGUUAUAGUUCGGGGCAUAAUUAACAUGACACGUUUACAAGAUAAUGGUUUUCCUCUGGAGGUGCAGCUAAAGGGUAUUUUGCCAUAAAAGCAACUCUUCAACAUUGUUUCCUACGUAUUUUGCCUAUCGUAUUAUAGGUCUGCAGUCACUUCUUGAUUGGAUAUCCAUGCAAUUGGAGUUAGUUUGUUCAUGCUAAUUUUUGCCUGAAAUUUAUGAUGAGGUUACUGACUGUGAGUUGAAUAUUCAGGUACAAACUUUUUCGUUUCAUUUAGCACCAUACAUAUCUCAUUCAAACAUUGUCUUGAUAUUUGUGUAGUAUCUCCAUCAUGAAUGAAAACAACUUACUAAAUUGGUUACUUGAAUCAGUGUUUUCAAUUGAAUGAUCAGAACAUGUUUUGAUAUCCUAAUUUGCUAUAUCGUGUGUGUAUUCUUACAUGCUGCAUGGGAGAGUAUGCAGUUUAGUAAAUGGCUCAUGACUAACAUUCUGUUUUCCUUUUUUUUCUCCCUUGAUUCCAGACCCAGUUUUGGAUGUCCCACUAGCAGAUGGAUGUGUCAGUACCAUAUCACUAAAUGGGUCUAGCUGUUCUGCAUAUGUCUAGGACCAUCAGUAAUGAUGCAUGAAAAUUGGAUCUUAAAAUGAUCUUUUGUCUUGCUUUUGAGUAAUCUAAUGUUGAUGACUUCAAAAAAAAAAUUAGAUGGGAUAUAUGAGAUGGGUUUGAACACUACUCAACAUAGUCUACUGUUAACAUUAUAAGAUAUUGACCUGUUCUUGUAUUAAAACAUUUCUUAUUCGAUCAUCAUUUUUGAGAAGUUGGAUGCUGACUCCUCCAUGGAGACAGGAAAUCUAACUUGCAGCAAGUAAUGCUGAGAAGCUUUACCAAAUGCUGCAUGAUGAGACUAGCUUUUACAUUUUCCUGAACUAAGCAGAUUGUCAAAGUCAUCUUAACAGCACAUAAAGAGAACAGAAGCAAGUAUGUCGUACCUUCUACUUAAGAAAGUAGAACCAAUAGUUUAGUCUUUGUUGUUUCAGACUAUCUAAUAUGUUAAUUGAUAAGAAGUACUUUGCUGGAUGACAAGGAGCCUGAACUUGAUCAGCCUGUCACAUGCCAUGCUUCAGUUAUAAAUUUAAUCUUGCUUCGGCUGAAUAGAUAGCACUGUUAUCUUAUCCCCCACUCAGCUGUAACUGAUUCUGGAGACUAACUGCCGAAGAACCACAAUCCAUCUUGUCAGUUUCCAUCAGCUGUCACAAUAAUUCUUGGUUUAGAUUGUUGCCUGAACCAUUCUUCAGUAUUUAGAAACUUUUGUUCCUAUGGGGGCAUAACUAUGAGAAUCCCGGUCACUUGUCUAAUUCGAUAAUUUUGAGCAGCUUCUUGCAUGUUGUAGUACCUUGUUGAAAACUUUCCUGCAUAUGCUGAUAUACUUAGUGAUCAAUUUUAGGCUUUAAUAUGUUGAUGAUCAUAUCUGGCACAUUCCAGCUAUCUUACAUGGGUGGAACUGAACUUUCAUUGAUAACAAUAAACUGCUUUGGUUAUACUGAAUCAGCAGUACCUGGAUCUUUUCUUGUAUUCUUUGCUGAGAUGGAUACUUUACCGGGUUAUAGUAUCUAAAUAUACCCUAAUGACUGCAAGAUGUCAUCUUUUAUGCUGCUAUGGAGCAAAUCAGAGCCCACAAGGAGGAGAAAAAUUCUGUGAAUACUUCAUAUUUGGAUCACAAGUGAGCUUUAUGUCCUGACGACCAUUUCUAGUAUUGAAGGAUCCAUCAGGAGCUGGUUUUUCCUGCAACACUUGACGUUGUAAGAUCACCUGUCCAAUGCCAGGAGCGGAACUCGAUAUCUAAGGGCUGGUUUUUCACCUUAGAUUUGGCUCUUUUAAUGUUUGAAAAUCACGCAAUCUUUCUUCGUAUCCAAUAUAAACACAUGUGUAAACUGUAAACAUAUAACAGCUUUCUUUUCUACACUUCCUAGUGCCUUGUUAUGUUUCA